GAUGAACGCUGGCGGCGUGCUUAACACAUGCAAGUCGAACGAAGCAUUUGCGACAGAUUUUUUCGGAAUGAAGUUGUUUAUGACUGAGUGGCGGACGGGUGAGUAACGCGUGGGUAACCUGCCUUGUACUGGGGGAUAGCAGCUGGAAACGGCUGGUAAUACCGCAUAAGCGCACAAUGUUGCAUGACAUGGUGUGAAAAACUCCGGUGGUAUAAGAUGGACCCGCGUCUGAUUAGCUAGUUGGUGAGAUAACAGCCCACCAAGGCGACGAUCAGUAGCCGACCUGAGAGGGUGACCGGCCACAUUGGGACUGAGACACGGCCCAGACUCCUACGGGAGGCAGCAGUGGGGAAUAUUGCACAAUGGAGGAAACUCUGAUGCAGCGACGCCGCGUGAGUGAAGAAGUAAUUCGUUAUGUAAAGCUCUAUCAGCAGGGAAGAUAGUGACGGUACCUGACUAAGAAGCUCCGGCUAAAUACGUG
rnacentral:rRNA from 1 species